GACAGAGGCCCCGAGCGUUAAUCGGAAUUACUGGGCUUAAAGGGUGCGUAGGCUGAUCCGAAAGUGCUCCGUGAAAUCCCCCGGCUCAACCGGGGAACAGCGAGGCAUACUGCGGAUCUUGAGGCAGGUAGGCGCCGAGGGAACAGUAGGUGGAGCGGUGAAAUGCGUAGAUAUCUACUGGAACGCCGAUGGUGAAGACGCUCGGCUGGGCCUGUCCUGACGCUGAGGCACGAAAGCGUGGGGAGCAAACAGGAUUAGAUACCCUGGUAGUCCACGCCGUAAACAAUGUACGCUAGAUCGGUGCGGCUCUGACGUCGGAUCGGUCGAAGUAAAAACGAUAAGCGUACCGCCUGGGGAGUACGGUCGCAAGGCUAAA
rnacentral:rRNA from 1 species